rnacentral:rRNA from 1 species
UCCUACGGGAGGCAGCAGUGGGGAAUUUUGGACAAUGGGGGCAACCCUGAUCCAGCCAUGCCGCGUGAGUGAAGAAGGCCUUCGGGUUGUAAAGCUCUUUCAGCCGGAAAGAAAUCGCCAUUCCUAAUACGAGUGGUGGAUGACGGUACCGAAGAAGAAGCCCGAUUCC